rnacentral:lncRNA from 1 species
GAAAAUUUUAAAAAAAUAUAUUAUUAUCAAAAGGACCUUUUGGAAUGUAUGAUAAAAGAAAGGAAGAUUUUUAAAAAUAUAUUAUUGUAAAAAGAACCAUUUGGUUGUCAUGCCUUCCUAGGGAGAAGUGGCAAAAUUUAAUACUAGAGCAGCAAAUAUUUAUUUCAUCAUUGUAGAAGAUCAAAAACUUUACUUCAAAAAAAUUAAUGAAAUAGUACUAGGGAUAUAGCUCAAUAACAGAACACUUGCUUAGCAUGUGCGAGACCCUGGUUACAUUCCCAGCACCACCAAAAAAAUAGAUUAAUUAAUUAAUUAAAUAGAUAUAUUUUAUUGGGUUAACACACUGUGGUGAGAACACCGGACUUGUAUCAAUUAAGUUAAAGGCUAUUUGAUUACAGAUAGGACCUUCAAUAUAGGCAAAACUACAAGCUUAUAAGUGAAGUAUAAAACCAAUGUUCUAUAAUUAUUACUCUGGAUUUUGCAUUAAAACAGUUAGAAAUGAUUUAGCCCCAGUGACAGUAUUUAGUAAUUUUAUGGUAUAAUUGACAAAAACUAUCAGCAUUCUGAUGUGGUCUUUUUUUCUCUCCACAUUUAAUUAAGAGAAGAGGGAUUAUAUAUAACUUACUCAGUCUGGUUUUUAGAUGAGAAAUGCAGCACAGAUGUUGGGGAAACCAUGAAUAUAUAUUUCAACUAUGAAAGAAAAUCUGCUUCUGCAUUUGAGGCACGGUAAAAUGGUUCAUAAAUGUCAUACUUUAUCUUUCUUGUAGCAAACUGCACAAUUCUUGCCAGAAUAAAUGCCAUUAUCAGUGAAGAAAAAGAAGAGAGAUUAUUGAAAUUUUUUAAUGAGAUUUGACUUGUAGUAACCAUAAAAUGUAAUCACAAGAUUUUUUCAUUUAGAUUAAAUUUCUGAACAAAUAUAAAGACAAAGAAUUUUAAAAUUCUAAAGCUGUCUAUUGAAGCUUAUGAACAAAGAGAUCUUGGCUAAGCAUUUGUUUUUCCUGUGUAUCUUUAGUUGAGGCCAGUGACUAGCAUGAACCAUUA